rnacentral:piRNA from 1 species
UGCGCUUCUCUCUCGGAUCCAUCCUCA